UCGAAGCUUCUUCCGCCGCAAACGGCUUACGUGCUCAAUGGGCACGUGAUUGCCACAUGCGUCCCCUACUUGGCCUCGCCUCUACCAUGCUCCUCUGACUCGACCUUAUUUAUAUGUAAAGCAAAAUAAAUUUCGAUAAAUUCUAGAUGACACUACUUAGUUUCUCAAUUUUCAAAUUCAAGUCUUGUUUUUGUGGUAUUUCAAAUGUGCUUGCCAAGUUGUAACUAAUUUAGAAGUUUGUGUAUUCUCUAAGCAUGUACUUGGUAAUGAUGCAAUACAAAUUAACUAGCUUAGACUUUAUCGGUCCUUUUUUCUUUACUAUACCAGCUGUAACAAUUGUUUUUUUUUUUUUUCAAAAGCACGUUUGAGUUUUUGCUUUUCAAAAACAUGUUUGAUUACUUAUGAGAAAUUUAAAUAUUGUACUAAUUAUUAUCCACGUUAAAUAGUUUUCCAUCACUAAUAAAAGAGUAUCUCUCAUUGACACAAAAGGAAGUAGAAAAUCUUUGUAAUACAAACCUUUUUAAUAUAGAUUUUGUAUUAGUUUUGUAAACAUCAUUUAUCAAGAUUCAAGUGUUAUACACUUAUGACUAGUAUCAUGUUUGUAUCAUCAAGAUGUUGCGUUCUUUGUGAUUUUGUGAAUAUAUUAUAAAUAAUUAUAUCCGUCCAGGGAUCCAGGUAAUCAU
rnacentral:lncRNA from 1 species